GAUCCUGGCUCAGAUUGAACGCUGGCGGCAGGCCUAACACAUGCAAGUCGAGCGGAUGAAGAGAGCUUGCUCUUUGAUUCAGCGGCGGACGGGUGAGUAAUGCCUAGGAAUCUGCCUGAUAGUGGGGGACAACGUUUCGAAAGGGGCGCUAAUACCGCAUACGUCCUACGGGAGAAAGCAGGGGACCUUCGGGCCGUUGCGCUAUCAGAUGAGCCUAGGUCGGAUUAGCUAGUUGGUG
rnacentral:rRNA from 1 species